ACUCCUACGGGAGGCAGCAGUGGGGAAUAUUGCACAAUGGGCGCAAGCCUGAUGCAGCCAUGCCGCGUGUGUGAAGAAGGCCUUCGGGUUUGUAAAGCACUUUCAGUCGUGAGGAAGGUAGUGUAGUUAAUAGCUGCAUUAUUUGACGUUAGCGACAGAAGAAGCACCGGCUAACUCCGUGCCAGCAGCCGCGGUAAUACGGAGGGUGCGAGCGUUAAUCGGAAUUACUGGGCGUAAAGCGCAUGCAGGUGGUUUGUUAAGUCAGAUGUGAAAGCCCGGGGCUCAACCUCGGAAUAGCAUUUGAAACUGGCAGACUAGAGUACUGUAGAGGGGGUAGAAUUCAGGUGUAGCGGUGAAAUGCGUAGAGAUCUGAAGGAAUACCGGUGGCGAAGGCGGCCCCCUGGACAGAUACUGACACUCAGAUGCGAAAGCGU
rnacentral:rRNA from 1 species